rnacentral:rRNA from 1 species
GGGGAAUCUUCCGCAAUGGACGAAAGUCUGACGGAGCAACGCCGCGUGAGUGAUGACGGCCUUCGGGUUGUAAAGCUCUGUUAAUCGGGACGAAAGGCCUUCUUGCGAAUAGUUAGAAGAAUUGACGGUACCGGAAUAGAAAGCCACGGCUAACUACGUGCCAGCAGCCGCGGUAAUACGUAGGUGGCAAGCGUUGUCCGGAAUUAUUGGGCGUAAAGCGCGCGCAGGCGGAUCAGUCAGUCUGUCUUAAAAGUUCGGGGCUUAACCCCGUGAUGGGAUGGAAACUGCUGAUCUAGAGUAUCGGAGAGGAAAGUGGAAUUCCUAGUGUAGCGGUGAAAUGCGUAGAUAUUAGGAAGAACACCAGUGGCGAAGGCGACUUUCUGGACGAAAACUGACGUUGAGGCGCGAAAGCCAGGGGAGCGAACGGGAUUAGAUACCCCGGUAGUCCUGGCCGUAAACGAUGGGUACUAGGUGUAGGAGGUAUCGACCCCUUCUGUGCCGGAGUUAACGCAAUAAGUACCCCGCCUGGGGAGUACGACCGCAAGGUUG